AUUGAACGCUGGCGGCAUGCUUUACACAUGCAAGUCGAACGGUAACAGGGAGCUUGCUCCGCUGACGAGUGGCGAACGGGUGAGUAAUGCAUCGGAACGUACCCAGUCGUGGGGGAUAACGUAGCGAAAGUUACGCUAAUACCGCAUACGUCCUGAGGGAGAAAGCGGGGGACCGUAAGGCCUCGCGCGAUUGGAGCGGCCGAUGUCGGAUUAGCUAGUUGGUAGGGUAAAGGCCUACCAAGGCGACGAUCCGUAGCGGGUCUGAGAGGAUGAUCCGCCACACUGGGACUGAGACACGGCCCAGACUCCUACGGGAGGCAGCAGUGGGGAAUUUUGGACAAUGGGCGAAAGCCUGAUCCAGCCAUGCCGCGUGAGUGAAGAAGGCCUUCGGUGUAAGCUCUUUCAGCCGGAAAGAAAUACGCGCAGGAGUAAUACUCUGCGUGGAUGACGGUACCGGAAGAAGAAGACACGGCUAACUACGUGCCAG
rnacentral:rRNA from 1 species